ACAGCCAUAUGACAUUGAAACACCUGUUCCCGUACGAUCACAGAAGUUAAGUUAGGUCGAGCGUGCUCACUACGUAGAAGGGGAACCACCUUGGAAUACCAGCUGCUGUAAG